rnacentral:rRNA from 1 species
CACGUAGGAGACGAGCGUUAUCCGGAUUUACUGGGCGUAAAGCGCGGGUAGGUGGGGUCUUAAGUCAUGCGUGAAAGCCCCCGGCUCAACUGGGGAGGGUCACGCGAUACUGUUCGACUCGAAGGCAGGAGAGGGAAGUGGAAUUCCCGGUGUAGUGGUGAAAUGCGUAGAUAUCGGGAGGAACACCAGUGGCGAAGGCGACUUCCUGGCCUGUUCUUGACGCUGAGGCGCGAAAGCUAGGGUAGCAAACGGG